UACGUAGGGGGCAAGCGUUGUCCGGAUUUAUUGGGCGUAAAGAGCGUGUAGGCGGCCACGCAGGUCCGUUGUGAAAACUCGAGGCUCAACCUCGAGAUGUCGGCGGAAACUGUCUGGCUAGAGUCCGGAAGAGGAGAGUGGAAUUCCUGGUGUAGCGGUGAAAUGCGCAGAUAUCAGGAGGAACACCAAUGGCGAAGGCAGCUCGCUGGGACGUGACUGACGCUGAGACGCGAAAGCGUGGGGAGCAAACAGG
rnacentral:rRNA from 1 species